AACACUGUAAGACCGUACCAGCUUGCCAAUAAAAACAAACUAGCGUGAUAGAAAUUCACUAUCUGGCAUCGUUGGUUUCUUGGCUUUGUGCAUGUUAAACCUGGCAUUUCUAAUGAUACAGUU